rnacentral:rRNA from 1 species
ACUUACGGGUACGGGGAUUAGGGUUCGAUUCCGGAGAGGGAGCCUGAGAAACGGCUACCACAUCCAAGGAAGGCAGCAGGCGCGCAAAUUACCCAAUCCCGAUACGGGGAGGUAGUGACAAUAAAUAACAAUAUGGGGCCCUNACGGGUCUCGUAAUUGGAAUGAGUACAAUUUAAAUCUCUUAACGAGGAACAAUUGGAGGGCAAGUCUGGUGCCAGCAGCCGCGGUAAUUCCAGCUCCAAUAGCGUAUAUUAAAGUUGUUGCAGUUAAAAAGCUCGUAGUUGAAUUUCGGAAUCUGUCCNUCGGUCGGGCUUCANUGUNCGUANUGGUGUGGUGGNUUCUUACNUUCNGAAUANCCNGCNUGCCNUUNNUUUGGUGCGNUGGGNAAGCNNGACUAUUACCUUGAAAAANUUAGAGUGCUCAAAGCNGGCNAGUGCCUGAAUACNUUANCNUGNAAUAAUAAAAUANGACGGCAUGGNUCUAUUUUGUUGGUUUCUAGGAUCACCGUAAUGAUUAAUAGGGAUAGUUGGGGGCAUUANUAUUCAAUUGUCAGAGGUGAAAUUCUUGGAUUUAUUGAAGACUAACUUCUGCGAAAGCAUUUGCCAAGGAUGUUUUCAUUAAUCAAGAACGAAAGUUAGGGGAUCGAAGACGAUCAGAUACCGUCGUAGUCUUAACCAUAAACUAUGCCGACUAGGGAUCGGACGAUGUUAAUUUUUUAAUGACUCGUUCGGCGCCUUACGGGAAACCAAAGUGUUUUGGGUUCA